AUUCCACACAAGAAGAUCACACCAUCCCUCACCUUAAUCAGGAUGAAGACAUAAAAGAUGUCAAAGCUGAGAUUAAAGAAGAAGAAGUAGGGAGGUUGGUGAGUGGAGAUCAACAGUCUAUGGAGGAGGAGAAGAUGAUGGAAAUUAAACAGGAGGAAUCUUCUCUACAUAUGGACACAAAUGGAUCCAGUAAUGGGAACCCACCAGAGAGAUGUCCUC